rnacentral:misc_RNA from 1 species
GAUGAAGAACGCAGCGAAAUGCGAUACGUAAUGUGAAUUGCAGAAUUCAGUGAAUCAUCGAGUCUUUGAACGCACAUUGCGCCCCCUGGUAUUCCGGGGGGCAUGCCUGUCCGAGCGUCAUUGCUGCCCUCAAGCACGGCUUGUGUGUUGGGCCCCCGUCCCCCCCUCCCGGGGGACGGGCCCGAAAGGCAGCGGCGGCACCGCGUCCGGUCCUCGAGCGUAUGGGGCUUUGUCACCCGCUCUGUAGGCCCGGCCGGCGCCUGCAGACCACCAUCAAUCUUUUUUCAGGUUGACCUCGGAUCAGGUAGGGAUACCCGCUGAACUUAAGCAUAUCAAUAAGCGGAGGA